rnacentral:tRNA from 1 species
GGGGUUGUAGCUCAAUGGUAGAGUGCCUGCCUCGCAUGUGUGAGGCACUGGGUUCAAUCCCCAGCACCA